rnacentral:lncRNA from 1 species
UAUGGCAACACGCUGAUUUGUCGGGAUUGAGUCUCUAAUACACGUUUCAAAUUUCGAAUUAAUUACGAACCCAGACACAAUAUACAAUCAACCACGAUCAAUCAAAGUUGUUUCCAUACUUGCGAGUGCUCGAACCAUCUAUAAAUACCAAGUCUUCCUCACCGGUCACCAAACCAUCAUCGUUACCACCCGCUCACCUUUCUGUUUCAUCCCCUCACCCCCUAUCUCUCGAUAACACCCACACCACCUCGUCGACCCGCACACAAUCACACCAUCUUUCAUGUAAACUGCCAUCACCACCACGAAACCUUUCACCACGUUCCCGUUUUCACCCGCAAUCGAUUUAUUCGACACCUUUAUGCACACUUGCUGUGCGAUCCGAAUACCUAUACAAGUCGCCGGAAAACUCAUGUGAACAUCGGACCACGACGGAACGGUUUGGCUACGUAUCGACAACCCGGGAACCCGCAGCCCUUCUGUUCAAAACCGCUGUCUUGCCGGAGCUGCCGGAGCCGCCUGAGAAGACGACUCGAUCCGGGUAAUCGCUUGGAAUCUUUUGGGUAAUUCCUACUCUAAUCUCCUCCCAAGAAACGCAACGCAAUCUAAGGUUUAAACUAUGUCAACCUACUCAAACUCGUUUGGGUUGAUUGAUCAAGAUACAAGAAAACAAGCUAGGAUGGCUUAGAAACUCAUUCUAGAAAUAAGCUAUUGUUUGAAUUUAUAUUUGAUUGUUUGAAACUUUGUAUUAUCCUUUAGAAUUUAAUAAAAUGAUUUAAUUUAUAUUGUC